CGUAGACGAAAGUUACGCUAAUACCGCAUACGAUCUAAGGAUGAAAGCGGGGGAUCGCAAGACCUCGCGCGAUUGGAGCGGCCGAUAUCAGAUUAGGUAGUUGGUGAGGUAAAGGCUCACCAAGCCAACGAUCUGUAGCUGGUCUGAGAGGACGACCAGCCACACUGGAACUGAGACACGGUCCAGACUCCUACGGGAGGCAGCAGUGGGGAAUUUUGGACAAUGGACGCAAGUCUGAUCCAGCCAUUCCGCGUGCAGGAUGAAGGCCCUCGGGUUGUAAACUGCUUUGUACGGAACGAAAAGGUUUCUAUUAAUACUAGGAGCUCAUGACGGUACCGUAAGAAUAAGCACCGGCUAACUACGUG
rnacentral:rRNA from 1 species